rnacentral:rRNA from 1 species
UGCGUAGGCGGAUUAAUAAGUCAGCGGUGAAAACCUUCAGCUUAACUGGAGACUUGCCAUUGAUACUGUUAGUCUUGAGUACGGUCAAGGUAGGCGGAAUGUGUAAUGUAGCGGUGAAAUGCUUAGAUAUUACACAGAACACCGAUUGCGAAGGCAGCUUACUGGGCCAUUACUGACGCUGAGGCACGAAAGCGUGGGGAGCGAACAGGAUUAGAUACCCUGGUAGUCC